rnacentral:rRNA from 1 species
GUGGUGCAUGGCCGUUCUUAGUUGGUGGAGUGAUUUGUCUGGUUAAUUCCGAUAACGAACGAGACUCUGGCUUACUAAAUAGGCGGCGGAUCUUUGUAUCCGCUAUGUCUUCUUAGAGGGAUAAGGCAGCUCUAAGCUGCAUGAGAAGGGGCAAUAACAGGUCUGUGAUGCCCUUAGAUGUUCUCGGCCGCACACGCGCUACACUGAAAGAGGCAACGUGUUUGCCUGAUUCGAAAGAAUUGGGUAACCCCCUAAUCUCUUUCGUGCUGGGGAUUGAGGUUUGCAAUUAUCCUUCAUGAACGAGGAACUCCCCAGUAAGUGCGAGUCAUUAUUUCGCCGCUGACUACGUCCCUGCCCUUUGUACACACCGCCCGUCGUUACUACCGAUUGAAUGACUUAGUGAGGACUUCCGACUGAGUUCAACGCGGCUUCCGCGUUGCGUUGGUAUUUCCGGAAAGAUGUCCAAACUGUAUCAUUUAGAGGAAGU